rnacentral:lncRNA from 1 species
CAUUCAUGUUGUCUCCCUCCCCUCUUCCCUCCCCUAUAACUAACAUCUGAGUCUGCAUCACUAUAGGAACAAGUAGAAAUGCCAAGAAAAACGUUUCAGGAAAAAUUUAAAGAAAUAAGUGAUUUCCUGAGUGAUGAAGAGGAAGAAGUCCACAGUCUAAUGGAACUGGAUGAGGAGGAGAAUGAAAUGUUUGAGCACUUGAAGGAGCAUGAGGUCCAGCAAGAAAUCCAAAACAGAGAGAAAAAGAUGAUGAGCAACUUCCAACUGUCCCAACACAAGAAUGACUUAAGGGAAAUGGUCAUAGCACUGGAAGAAAAGUCUCAGAUGCCAGAUAAGGAACUGCUGCAGGAUGCAGGAAAUACACUGAGCAAAAUCUCGACGGGUGCAGUGCCAUUAUCCAUAUGAAUUUACUGAUGACCGAAAGAGGACUAUCACUUUCGCAGAUACUUCCUCAGGUCAGAUGUAUGCUGUUUAUACCUCUGGAAGUCUUCACUACAUUAAUGGGAUGGAUUUGUCUUUUACACGACUGGAUAUGGAUGGCAUGUCUGAAGAAGAGCAAGAAGAUCCCAUCUUUGCCUGUUACUGUGUGCCAGUUGAAAGGGAGAACUCGAUUAGCAAUUACCCUUCUAAACCCUCAAUAGAAUGGCAUUAGGAACAGAUAGAUGCCUGGGCAAACUAAGGACAGAGUUUCAGGAGGGUAUUGAAACUAUAUUCCACUUGUUCACUAGUUACGUGUGUAUCAGGGUAAAAUGUCAGUUUUGGUAAUUAAGAACUUAGUGGAAUCUUGUAUUGUCUUCUCCUUACUUCAACUAUGUCUAGAACAAAUGUGAUCUGCUGAAGAAAAUAAGCUUUAAAGCUUGCCUUCCCCCCUCUCCCACCUAUUACAUUUCCAUCUUGGGAUAUCAUUGAUGGGAAAUGGGUGCUGGACUUUGGAGUAAAGGAAAGACUUGUUGAUUCUCACCUCAGGUACCCGACACACAGGUUGUGCCACAGAUUGAUUCUUACAAAAUAUCACACAAUGUAUAUGAAUAAACAUUUGGUGGGGGGAAGUUUACA